GCCUAAGUCGCAUGUAAGUCACUUUGGAUAAAAGUGUCUACUAAAUGGCAUAUA
rfam:Salmo salar isolate Sally breed double haploid chromosome ssa01, whole genome shotgun sequence.